UAAAUAUACAAAUGAAAACUAUAAACAUAUGUUGAGACAAGUUUAAACCUGUAGGUAGCCCUACAGGACCAUAGUAACACUAUCCACCUUUGUAAAACACACACAAUAUGCCUAGUAAGACCAUCCACUUGUAUAAACACUACUCUUAGUAACACAAUUUAUCUACAGAAAUAUUACCCUUAGUAACAGCAAAUGCCUAUAGCAACAGGCCCUCUGGUAACGAACUGUGAUGUCAACACCUCCCCAAGACAAUGGUGUAUUCUGGUGUCACUUUGUGGACCACUCAGACAGUCACACCCUCUGGUGCCUAUUAUGUAACAGUUAUGUAACCCUCAGGUGUCAGAUUUAAUGUUUUACUUAUAAAGAAAAACUGUAAUU